GGCACAUUCUGCGAGCUGGAGGAGUCGCUGGACCCGCAGUGCGUGGCGGGCCCGUGCCGCAACAACGGCAGCUGCAGCGUGCCGCCCGGCGCCGCCGAGUACGUGUGUGACUGUCCCUCUGGUUACACCGGUCGUAACUGCGAGAUCGAUAUCGACGAGUGCGCGGCGCCGGGCGCGGCGGCCGCCUGCCUCAACGGGGGCCGCUGCGUCGACGCCGUCGACAACUUCACCUGCGACUGCACCGGC
rnacentral:misc_RNA from 1 species